rnacentral:rRNA from 1 species
UACGUAGGGUGCGAGCGUUGUCCGGAAUUAUUGGGCGUAAAGGGCUCGUAGGCGGUCUGUUGUGUCGGUAGUGAAAACUCAGGGCUUAACCCUGAGCCUGCUUCCGAUACGGGCAGACUAGAGGUAUGCAGGGGAGAACGGAAUUCCUGGUGUAGCGGUGAAAUGCGCAGAUAUCAGGAGGAACACCGGUGGCGAAGGCGGGUCUCUGGGCCGAUACUGACGCUGAGGAGCGAAAGCGUGGGGAGCGAACAGG